rnacentral:rRNA from 1 species
AUUGAACGCUGGCGGCAUGCCUUACACAUGCAAGUCGAACGGCAACAGGUCUUCGGAUGCUGACGAGUGGCGAACGGGUGAGUAAUACAUCGGAACGUGCCCGAUCGUGGGGGAUAACGGAGCGAAAGCUUUGCUAAUACCGCAUACGAUCUACGGAUGAAAGCAGGGGACCGCAAGGCCUUGCGCGGACGGAGCGGCCGAUGGCAGAUUAGGGAGUUGGUGGGAUAAAAGCUUACCAAGCCGACGAUCUGUAGCUGGUCUGAGAGGACGACCUGGCACCCUGGGACUGGGACACGGCCCAGAAUCCUACGGGAGGCAGCAGUGGGGAAUUUUGGACAAUGGGAGCAAGCCUGAUCCAGCCAUGCCGCGUGCAGGAUGGAGGCCUUCGGGUUGUAAACUGCUUUUGUACGGAACGAAAAGACUCUGGUUAAUACCUGGGGUCCAUGACGGUACCGUAAGAAUAAGCACCGGCUAACUACGUGCCAGCCGCCGCCGUAAUAC